CGAAAUGCGAUAAGUAAUGUGAAUUGCAGAAUUCGGUGAAUCAUCGAAUCUUUGAACGCACCUUGCGCUCCUUGGUAUUCCGAGGAGCAUGCCUGUUUGAGUGUCAUUAAAUUCUCAACCUUCCAGCUUUUUAUAAGCUUGGUUAGGCUUGGAUGUGGGGGUUGUGGGCUUCAUUAAUGAGGUCAGCUCUCCUUAAAUGCAUUAGCGGAACUUUUGUGGACCGCCUAUUGGUGUGAUAAUUAUCUACGCCGUGGAUGUGAAGCAGAUUUAUGAAGUUCAGCUUCUAACCGUCCAUUGACUUGGACAUUUUUGACAAUUUGACCUCAAAUCAGGUAGGACUACCCGCUGAACUUAAGCAUAUCAAUAAGCGGAGGAAAAGAAACUAACAAGGAUUCCCCUAGUAACUGCGAGUGAAGCGGGAAAAGCUCAAAUUUAAAAUUCUGGCAGUCUUUGGCUGUGCCG
rnacentral:rRNA from 1 species